rnacentral:misc_RNA from 1 species
AAGUCGUAACAAGGUUUCCGUAGGUGAACCUGCGGAAGGAUCAUUAAAAGUAAUUGGUUGAUACAUUAUCCUGUAUCAACUGCACAACCCUAUUCCGAGUACCUUGCCUGUUGCUUCCAUGGGCCUCGACUUUGGUCACUCUUGUGAUGUGAAACCCAAGAGAGUCCCCCAUGGGAGGUAAUCAUUAAAUUCAUGUAUCCAAUGUCUUCUGUCUGAGCUGUUUUAUAACAAAUGUUAAAA